rnacentral:rRNA from 1 species
UACGUAGGGGGCAAGCGUUGUCCGGAUUUAUUGGGCGUAAAGAGCGUGUAGGCGGCUUGGCAAGUCCGCUGUGAAAACUCGAGCUCAACCUCGAGACGCCGGUGGAAACCAUCAGACUAGAGUCCGGAAGAGGAGAGUGGAAUUCCUGGUGUAGCGGUGGAAAUGCGCAGGAUAUCAGGAAGAACACCCGUGGCUAAGGCGGCUCUCUAGUACGGUACUGACGCUGAGACGCGAAAGCGUGGGGAGCGAACAGG